GACGAACGCUGGCGGCGUGCCUAAUACAUGCAAGUAGAACGCUGAAGGAGGAGCUUGCUCUUCUGGAUGAGUUGCGAACGGGUGAGUAACGCGUAGGUAACCUGCCUGGUAGCGGGGGAUAACCAUUGGAAACGAUAGCUAAUACCGCAUAAGAGUAGAUGUUGCAUGACAUUUGCUUAAAAGGUGCAAUUGCAUCACUACCAGAUGGACCUGCGUUGUAUUAGCUAGUUGGUGGGGUAACGGCUCACCAAGGCGACGAUACAUAGCCGACCUGAGAGGGUGAUCGGCCACACUGGGACUGAGACACGGCCCAGACUCCUACGGGAGGCAGCAGUAGGGAAUCUUCGGCAAUGGACGGAAGUCUGACCGAGCAACGCCGCGUGAGUGAAGAAGGUUUUCGGAUCGUAAAGCUCUGUUGUAAGAGAAGAACGAGUGUGAGAGUGGAAAGUUCACACUGUGACGGUAUCUUACCAGAAAGGGACGGCUAACUACGUG
rnacentral:rRNA from 1 species